GAGGGUAUAGCUCAAGUGGUAGAGCACAUGCUUAAUAUGCACAAGGUCCCGGGUUCAAUCCCCAGUACCUCCU
rnacentral:tRNA from 1 species